AAUAGAAGCCGUGGGCGCUCCUCCGUCUCUCGGCGGCUGUAAGCUUGCGAGGUCCGGCCGGCCGAGGACGUCGGAUCCAUUGCCCUCCCAGCGCUUCGACCCUUCCCUGAAGGCUCUUAAUAAAACAGAUUGUUCCUACCA